rnacentral:rRNA from 1 species
GGCUCAGGGAUGAACGCUAGCGGCAGGCUUAAUACAUGCAAGUCGUGGGGCAGCAUGAGUAGCAAUACUUGAUGGCGACCGGCAAACGGGUGAGGAACACGUACACAACCUUCCUUCAAGCGGGGAAUAGCCCAGAGAAAUUUGGAUUAAUACCCCAUAAUAUAUUUGAUAAGGCAUCUUAUUAAUAUUAAAGCUUCGGCACUUGAUGAUGGGUGUGCGGCUGAUUAGAUAGUUGGCGGGGUAACGGCCCACCAAGUCUACGAUCAGUAGCUGAUGUGAGAGCAUGAUCAGCCACACGGGCACUGAGACACGGGCCCGACUCCUACGGGAGGCAGCAGUAAGGAAUAUUGGACAAUGGACGAAAGUCUGAUCCAGCCAUGCCGCGUGAAGGAUUAAGGUCCUCUGGAUUGUAAACUUCUUUAUAUGGGACGAAAAAGGGCAUUCUUGUUCACUUGACGGUACCAUAUGAAUAAGCACCGGCUAACUCCGUG